rfam:Danio rerio unplaced genomic contig NA367, GRCz11 reference primary assembly.
GUAGUUGUGGCCGAGUGGUUAAGGUGAUGGACUAGAAAUCCAUUGGGGUCUCGCCGCGCAGGUUCGAAUUCUACCGACUACG